rnacentral:lncRNA from 1 species
AUCCUCGAGGUGUUGAUCUCUCAGAAGGGGAGCAAAGGAUUGUAGGGAUCAGAUCUCCACAUGCUUGGAAGGGACUCUUGAUGCCAAGAAAAGAGAGCACCAAAGAACCCUCGCAAAACCAAGAUAGAUGUCUGCCCACACCUCUCUAUUCCUUAUGGUAUUUUACUUAGUUUUGUCGCACAAAAUAAUUGCAUACCCCAAUAGUCAGAGAUCCCUCCUUUAAAUAGGUGAUGCCCCAUAAUCUGAUCAAGACUUUUGAUUCAAAACCAUAUUUGAAUUAGUCCAAACUUUAUUUAAGAAGGAAAUCGAGUGG